GACGAACGCUGGCGGCAGGCUUAACACAUGCAAGUCGAGCGGAGAUGAGGUGCUUGCACCUUAUCUUAGCGGCGGACGGGUGCUUAAUGCUUAGGAAUCUGCCUAUUAGUGGGGGACAACAUUCCGGAAGGAAUGCUAAUACCGCAUAAGCCCUACGGCGGAAAGCAGGGGAUCUUCGGACCUUGCGCUAAUAGAUGAGCCAAAGUCGGAUUAGCUCGUCGGGGGGGUAAAGGCCUACCAAGGCGAGGAUCUGUAGCGGGUCUGAGAGGAUGAUCCGCCACGCUGGGACUGGGACACGGCCAGACUCCUACGGGAGGCAGCGGUGGGGAAUAUUGGACAAUGGGCGUAAGCGUGAUCCAGCCAUGCCGCGUGUGUGAAGAAGGCCUUUUGGUUGUAAAGCACUUUAAGCGAGGAGGAGGCUACCUGGAUUAAUACUCUAGGAUAGUGGACGUUACUCGCAGAAUAAGCACCGGCUAACUCUGUGCCAGCCGCCGCCGUAAAAC
rnacentral:rRNA from 1 species